CUGGCUGGCGCUUUGCAGCCCUUGACUCUGCUCUCCCUGGAUGACCGUCAGCUCCUGGAGAAGAUCUGCCUUCCCUUGAGGCGGCUCCUCCUGUCCUGAGAAGUGCGUCACAUGAUCUAACAUUUGUUUAAAAAAGAAUGAUGACAUUCUUAACACCUGAAGUGUGUCGUGUCCCCAGAAGAAUUCUCUGCUUCCCCAGAAGACUAGACAGCGAGCAGCUGGGACCGAGUUCUGACCCAGGAAGGAAAGACGCUGAGUGCAAAGCCAUCUCCCUCCACCAACUCCUCACCCUGAUCUGUGGCCUUGAUGGGGUGACAGCGCUGGGGACUUGUGCAGGUGACAGUGCUCAAGUGUUUGCCCACGAGCUCCUGGUUGUAUUGGAAAAAUUCCUGAAGAAGGCUGCCUGGAGUUGAGCCGAUAGUUCUUCCUAUAAAAAGAACCAUAAAAAAGAAUCCUUAUUUUGUCCAUGGGGCCUCAGGAGAAGCCCUCGUGAGAGAGGAAUCCUUGCUAACCCUAUGUUGUACCUAGGACUGGCUUCUCCUAAGACAGUGGUUCUCGAACUCCAGUGUGCAUUAGAACUGUGUGGAGGUCCCCUACAACACAGAAUGCUGAGCCCAUCCCAGAGUUUGUGAUCCAGUAGGAUGGCGGACCCAAGAAUUUA